rnacentral:lncRNA from 1 species
UAAAAGGGUAAACUGAUGCUAAAAGCUACCUCAAGAAGAUGCCUGGAGCAGGGUUCAAGAUCAAUCUAGCUUUUAGUCUCAGCCAUAAACCAUCUGAGCUUUGGGUAAGUCACUUGACCACCAGGCCGGUUUCCUCAUUAUGACAGAAUGGAAUUCUGAAUUCCCUUUCUGUUGUAAUAGUCUGAUUGCACAAUUUUCCAUUAGAGAAGUUUCAUACCUGUUAGAUCUCCUGCUGCCAGGAACUAACCUCCUGGGAGACAGGUCUUAUCGUCAUCCAGGCAUAUAGGAGGGUGUUGGGAAAACACUUGUAGUGGAUGCUGGAUUGUGCCAUUCAGAGCCAGCUCCCUUUGCUAUUGAAGAACUUAUUUCCCUACAUGUCAGGACUUCUGCUGGCUGAUGGCCCCCAGCUGUGAGCUCUUUCAGGCAUCACCUUUGGCUGCAAAAGGCUCCCUCUCCUGAAGUUACUACCUGCAUCCCUGGAGGCAGACUUCAUCUCAUGUCUUCAUCCAAAGUUUGAACAAAUUGGCUAAGAAGGUGCUAGACAUGUAAAGGGACUAUUUUUUUUCUUAAUUCAAAUGUAGGAGGAGUAUGGAUCUCCAGGAACCAGAAGAGCUGCAUACAUAUAAACAAAGCUCCAAAUUUGGAAGCAGCAGUGAAACUCCACAGAUUACUGAGGGCAAAAUUGCUGGGUCAUAU